GUGGGGAAUUUUGCGCAAUGGGCUAACGCCUGACGCAGCAACGCCGCGUGGAGGAUGAAGGUCCUUGGAUUGUAAACUCCUGUCAGCAGGGAAAAAGCAACUUGACCUAAUACGUCAGGGAGUUGAUUGUACCUGCAGAGGAAGCCCCGGCUAACUCUGUGCCAGCAGCCGCGGUAAUACAGAGGGGGCAAGCGUUAUUCGGAAUUAUUGGGCGUAAAGGGCGCGUAGGCGGCCUUGCAAGUGGAAGGUGAAAUCCCUCGGCUUAACCGAGGAACUGCCUUCCAGACUGCUGGGCUUGAGACCGGGAGAGGUGAGUGGAAUUCCCAGUGUAGCGGUGAAAUGCGUAGAUAUUGGGAGGAACACCAGUGGCGAAGGCGGCUCACUGGACCGGUACUGACGCUGAUGCGCGAAAGCGUGGGGAGCAAACGGGAUUAGAAACCCCAGUAGUCC
rnacentral:rRNA from 1 species